UGGAAAAAUUUCGAAUCUUAGUCAUAGUGCGCGAUGUGACAAAACCCUUCCGAGCAUGUUUCGUAUAACGUCGGCAAAUUCAGAUUUCGAUGCAUAACUUUUAGUGUUUUCGGCACGUUAAAGUUUCACUAUAUGAUUCUGUAACCCAUCUAUCAGUGUCUAUUCAGAAUCCACCACUGCCAUUACUUUUUUUGUGAAUUUAACAUAAGUGAAGUUAAUUAACCGCGUUUUACGGCUGGUAAUCAGCCACUUAGAAAUCUAUUAUAAUAACGAUUGCCCUCCCUUGAUCACAACAUUUUUUUUGGAAGGGGAGAAAUAUAAUGAAUCCCUCAUAGAAACUUUUAAAAAUGCAAAAGAUCAAGUGCGUUACUGUAUAGAAAGUGUAAGCUACACAGUUUGGUAUCUGAUUUAAGGAUACGUAGAACUGCGGUGAGUUUUCCUUGUGAUCUAUUAUAUUACAAUACACAGGUUGUAUAAGUAGCAACUGAGUAUAGGUAUUGUAUUAACUGGGUUAUAAUGUUACCUAU